GACCCCCAGCGACCCUUCCGUACACUACAUUUCCCAUCACCCUUUUCUUAACAUCGCGAGAGUUCCAGCGAGACUGCAGGGAAGACUUGCGCGCUGGCUUGGUUUGGUCUUUUCUCCCAGACCGGCCGCGUGGUUGGGAGCCAUGGUGUGUUCUAUCCCGGUCCAGCGCGGCAAGCAGCUACAGGCCUUUGGCAGGCCUGCCUUUGGCAUGUGCAGAGAUAGAAGCAGACCUGCAGGUUGAAGCUUCAAAGUAUUGAGUGGGGCCCCGAAGUGCGUAAGAAUGGGUGGGUGGAGGCAGGAUCUGGGUGGGCACCAGAACCGAGAAAGCCAAGAUGGUGUGCAGGCCUGGCACAUACAGCAGCCGACACUUCCUUCUGAAGUUGAGUUCAAUUCUGUGAAUGGUGGCAUAAAUGAGAAUCCGGAAAUGAAGGGCUGCCAGUGUGAUCUGGGGGCCACUAGGUGUCACUGUUUGAACCCCAAAUGGAUACCCCUGCUUACAGGGUGAAAGGGAAUCUUGGAAAAGGAGUUUUGGUUGCCUGGGAUUCAGAAAUGUUACAGGUUGAGCUGAGGAUGAUUUCAAGUUAUCCCUGUCUGAAAGGACAUCUUUUGUGAAGAGUCCUGACUUGCUGAGGCUCAGCUUUUUAAAUCCCAGUCCUGAGAGUAAAUACCUUAACAUUGUUUCUAUUAGAAUGAAAAGUAUGUUUUGCACGCUUCUCUUUUAGGUUAAGGACAUUGGCUGUGAACUUGGAAAAUCCAAGUCACAUGAAAACUGUCAUCCUAAAAUGUCCUCCAGAUGACAUUUCUGUCAAUGGGACAGUCACACAGCCUUGGUUUCUGAAGCUGAAACGGACCCUGCACCCGCACCAAUGAGCAGUGACUGUUAGCCACCCUGAACCCUUGGUGGGUCUUUCCUGGUGAGGCACAGAACCGAACUGCGUUGCCUGAAGCCAGAGAAACACCCUCUCCGUCCUUUGUGCUCCGCCAUGGCGCUGGGAGGGGUCAGCACAGCCUCAGGGCCAAGCGUUCGUGCCUCUAAAGCGAUCCCCUCAAAGGAGACUCACUUCAGAGUUCUUUGGACUUCAUCUUCAAAAGUGGCCAAAUAGCCCCGGCUGGUGUGGCUCCGUGGACUGAGCACUGGCCUGCAAACCAAAGGGUCGCUGGUUCAAUUCCCAGUCAGGUCACAUGCCUGGGUUGUGGGCCAGGUCCCCAGUAGGGGACGCAUGAGAGGCAACCACACAUUGAUAUUUCUCUCCUUCUUUCUCCUCUUCCUCUCUCCUCUCUCAAAAAAAACUAUUUUUAAAAAUAAAAAGAAAACUAAA